rnacentral:misc_RNA from 1 species
GCUUCAUUCAAGCAGCAAAUCCCUUGUAGAUGACAUAAUGCAAUCUUCUAUUCCUUAAGGAUCUUGCAGUUAUUGGCUAAAUAUCCAAUACUUACUUUUGUUGCACGACCAAACCUUAUACCCUACAGUGCAACCACUCAAUUAUGUCAUUCACAAUAUCUUGUCCUUCGGGUUCCAAUAGGAGAUCAUGUAAUAAUCCUUCAAAUAAUUUGAUGGUUUGUCAGUUGAGGACGCUUCGUCAUAUGGUUUUUGUGAAGUUUGAAAUUUUGCUGCAAGUAGUUUGAAAUUUGGAGAAUCUCAUACCCAGUUCUUACUCUAAUGGAACCAGUGUACACUAGCGGUUCUGAAUACUUGGCUAUUAGUGCCUCUCGAUCCCGAGAAACUGGCAUGCCCUUCUUGUUUGCAGCACUAGGUUGCAACCUUGGCAACAAGACUCAGACAAUUGGAGCUAGUACCCAUGGUGAAGAAAAUAAGGAUAUAAUAAAUUUACAGAAGAUCCAGCUCAUCAAUUGCAUGUAUACACAUUUUGGCAUUAAAAAAAAUUAUUCUUCUAUAACCUUUUGGAUUUGAAGGCGAGAUAUAAAUGAAUUUACAAAGGAAAAGGAUUCUUACCCCAAAAAUAGGAUGGGAUGGCUGAA